AAGGUUCGCGAUAGCUUUGCUUUGCUUGCUUCAUAUCGGGGCUGAUUCAGAUACGAUCAUGUCGCAACUUUUUUUUUAUUUAACAAAAAGAAUGUGCAAUAUCGGUAGUGUUGUGCAACUUAGUAGAACUCCGAAAUGUAGCUUUGUUUGUGGCCGUGAUUGGAUGCACUCUCCCGUUGAUGAUUGUCACACCGAGUUAACUGUAGGCUGCUACGUCACCUUGUCACCUUGUCGCCGGGCCGGCUUGAAAAGCUGGCCGAAGUUUAUUAAGUACGAAAGGCUACGUCACCUUGUCAUUUUAGAAUUUUAGGAUUGUUGGAGAUUUAGCUAUUUAGCCUAUCCAUUGUUGUGUGAAUUAUUCAGUACAUUGAAAUACAUGUCCUUCUAGCAUCACAAGGGUAUUUCUUUGGCUUUCUGCAUCCGUGUUGAAUGCUAUAGUUCAGGAAUAACAGCGUCAAGUGAAGAGGGGGGAUGCAUAGCUAGCAUCCUUUAUAUUUUGGGACGGAGGUAGAAGAUUUUAUUGUCUUGUUAGAUCUCUAGUUCCUUAACACCUAACAGACUUAUCUUUGUUAGAAAAGUCUACAAUCUUCCAUGUACUGUUAACUUCUUCUACAUUUCUUGCAUGCCCUGUUUCUCUCUUGCCAGCAAUUGUUUUAAUUUCUUUGUUGUGAUUAUAAAUAUUUAAAACUAAUUGGAGGUUUUUGUUUUGCUUCAAAUGCUUGUCGUUUUCAUUUUAUUCAUUAUGAAUCGCAAUGCAUCAUUGACAG
rnacentral:lncRNA from 1 species